rnacentral:rRNA from 1 species
UAAUUAGGCUUGGUUUGAUAAAAAAUUACUAUAAAUUUUUUAUGAAUUUACUAAAAAAACAAAAACAGAAAAUAAAUUUUAUUUAAUAAUACAAGAUUAUUGAAAUUUAUAGUUUAAUUUAGCUAAUU